AUGAUCGCAACGUCGGAACCAAACGCGAAACAGUGCUUUUCACCCUCAUGGCGACUUUGGAUCAUAGCAUCUUUGUCCGCAUGGCUGUCACGCUUUGGCUGGACGGCACGGCGAAAAUAUAUACAUGAGGGAAUCACACAAAGUCCGCAGGCCACUUCUCUCUUUGUGAGCAGGUUUAUCAAAGAACUGGAGCUGAUCAAUACAAAGCCUGGUGCCCCUCGGGUAAAUGUGGCAGCACAUGCAAGGCUAAAAGCACCACCGGUGGGAUACGUUAAGAUCCAUGUAGAUGAAGCAGUCUUGCGCAAUCGGCGAGGCUUGGCGGCGGCUGUAUGCCGAGACCAGGCGGGCAACUACCUGGGAAGUUCUGCACUUGUCUUACCAGGGAUAGCUGACCCGCCCACUUUGGAAGCAAUUGCUUGUCGAGAAGGCCUUGCUUUGGCGGAGGAUCUUCUCCUGGGGAACCUAAUCAUCGUGUCUGAUUGCAAGCGGGUUGUUGAUGACAUCAAGCUAGGCAACCAGUGCUCCUAUGGUUCAGUGAUAACAUAAAUUAAACUUCGCUCUUUGGAUUUUACUUGUAGUUUUGUUUUUGAAAGCCGUUCUUCAAACGUUGAAGCUCAUAGUUUAGCUAAGCAUGCACUCUCUCUUGGUGCGGGGCGCCACACUUGGCUGAUUAACCCUUAUAAUCCGAUUUGUAUCCCACUUCAUGUGGAUUAUGAUCAAUAA
rnacentral:rRNA from 1 species